rnacentral:rRNA from 1 species
CCUACGGGAGGCAGCAGUGGGGGAUAUUGGGCAAUGGGGGAAACCCUGAUCCAGCGACGCCGCGUGAGUGAAGAAGUAUUUCGGUAUGUAAAGCUCUAUCAGCAGGGAAGAAAGAAAUGACGGUACCUGAGUAAGAAGCCGCGGCUAACUACGUGCCAGCAGCCGCGGUAAUACGUAGGGGGCAAGCGUUAUACGGAAUUACUGGGUGUAAAGGGAGCGGAGAUGGUAAGGCAAGUCUGGAGUGAAAGGCGGGCGCUCACCCUCCGGACUGCUCUGGAAACUGGGUAACUGGAGUGCAUGAGAGGCAGGCGGAAUUCCUAGUGUAGCGGUGAAAUGCGUAGAUAUUAGGAGGAACACCAGUGGCGAAGGCGGCCUGCUGGACUGUAACUGACGUUGAGGCUCGAAAGCGUGGGGAGCAAACGGGAUUAGAUACCCCAGUAGUC